rnacentral:rRNA from 1 species
GGGUCAGUAGGUUGGUCGUGCCACCGGUACGUACUGGUCUCACUGAUUCCUCCUUCCUGAAGAACCGUAAUGCCAUUAAUUUGGUGUUGCGGGGAAACAGGACUGUUACUUUGGAAAAAUUAGAGUGUUUAAAGCAAGCUAACGCUUGAAUACAUUAGCAGGGAAUAAUGAAAUAGGACGAUCGAUCCUAUUUUGUUGGUUUCUAGGAUUGACGUA